UUCUACAUGGGGCCUCAACUCCAGACCCCGCAAACAACAACUAACAUGAGGACAACUGCUGGGAAGAGGCUGAAGCAAUUGCAGCAUGAUCACACAAGUGAUAACCACCAAGCCAAAGGGACAGGAAGCUCUCGGCAUUGUUGGUGUUUUACUCGAGCCAUGGGACACAAGCUCUGCCAAAGAUAUGCAGGAGAAUUCAGCUCCAAGGGAAGGAGCAGAAACCCCAACCCUGAAGUCCCAGACACACAGGGCCUGCCUGAGGCUGAGGCUAGACCAGGACAACAAAGAAUUCUCCUGCUUCCCACCACAACGAUUGUUCAUAGCAAGUAAGAAGAAGCAGGCUACCACUGGGAGAUGGCAAGAGCACAGAGAGAGAGAAUGUCUGUGGUGCAAGAGUACCAAGGAGGCCAAAGCUGAGGAUGAAGAAGGAACAUUGAGGAAAACUCUCCAGGACCUGAGCAGCCAUCCUAAGCACAAUGUAACACCAGAGACCACGGAAGCCAGUGGUGCACUGAAGUGAACCAGAGCAGCAACAGAAGUCCAGUUCAACUCAACUCCUGACCAGAUUGAGUCAGGUUCCCAAAUAAACUACCAGAAGAAUCCAGUUCAACUCAACUCCUG
rnacentral:lncRNA from 1 species